rnacentral:lncRNA from 1 species
UGGGAGUUUAGCUCAGUGGUGCUGCUGCCUGCCUUGUAAAUGCAAGGAUCAGAGUUUGAUCCCUGGUACAGAAAAUAAAAACAAACAACCCCCCCCAAGAAAAAUUCUUUAUUGAUCAUUUUGCAUAGGCCAAAAACAAGGCUAAGUCAGUACUGGGAAAAAUGAAGUCCUCAGGUCAUAAUAUUAGAGAACUAUACAGCUAAAACAUUUAAAAAAUUUGAUAACAUACAAAAGAAGAGAAUGGGGGUGCUUAUAGGUCCAUUUCAUCUUUCCUUUCACAUCGCAUGGUCUACAGAGCUGUAUCCUAUUGAGACCUCAUAGGCCUGGCUUUUUUUUUUUUAAUCUCUAAAAGAUAGUUUCUUAUUUCCAGGCAUUAUUUACUGAUGAUGCGAAGUAUUAGAGCUUGUUUGUAUGUGAGGUCAUGUAUCUCCUCUUUUUUUCCCCUUUUGUGAAACCUGUUAUGAUAGACAUUUUCAUGACAUACAGAACACCUUGUAAGGUUGGGCAUAGAACCUCGUUCUGUCAUUGUUCCCUGGAUUCUAUAACCCGUGACCAGGAAUUAUGCACCCUGGAGACAUCUGUGCUAUAGACAUCUUUUGCUAUAGAGUUGUACUUCUUAGCUGGUAGCUACUAGCCACAUGUGGUUGCUUAGAUUUAAAUUUAAAUUUAAGUAUAUAAAGUAAAACACAUAGUUUCGCAGUUUCACUAGUCUGUGGGAGAAGUUUAAGCCUGGCUGGGCCAGGUGAGCUGCACUCCUCCUGAGCUAACUUGGAGACCUUGCUAAGGCUGAGCUAAUUUGCUUAAGUGCAUAGAUGCUAGGUCCAACAGGUACACCUCCACCCCUAGUCCGUGACUCCUUUGCCCCGCCCAAGAAAAAAAAAUCACUCCACCGUGUCUCCAAUAAGAUACUGCCAAAUAUUAAAUGCUCCUCCCAUGCUCCGCCCCCAUGUUGUCCCUAUAUAAGCCUGUGCCUUUCUUGAAUAAAGCGGAAGUGGUCCAUACACCUCCCCAGAAGCUGGCUGGUGUUUCUUUGCCUAACACUCCCAGUUGGAGCUACCGGAGAUUGUUCCCGAAGCAGGCUCGCGGGCGGGCUCGCAUUUACUGGCCCUGCUAUUUGCCAGUCAACUUCCCAAGAGAAUGCAAACUCUGGUGAGUACCAUUUUUUGUCCAUUUUGCUCAUUUCUGUGUCUUGGACACCUAGAAUGGUGCCUAACACGUUGUAGCCCAGUUCACAUUUCUGGAAUAAACAAAAAAGUUCUUUAACAUUAUACCAAAGAACCAAAUAAAGGUAGAUAUUUUAGACUGUCAAGGUGGCGAGAAAAAGUAUUGUGGAGAUGGAGAGACAAAUAACCUUCUGAAAGGAUCCACUGACUUUGUCUAUGCACAGGGCUGGG